GAUGAACGCUGGCGGCGUGCUUAACACAUGCAAGUCGAACGGACAGGCCCUGCUUUUGUGGGGUGCUCGAGUGGCGCACGGGUGUGUAUAACGUGUGUAUCCUGCCCUUGUCUUUGGGAUAACUUCUGGGAACUGGGGCUCAUACCGGAUAGGAGCUCCUGCAGCAUGGUGGGGGUUGGAAAGUUUCGGCGGUUGGGGCUGGUCUCGCGGGUUAUCCGCUUGUUGGUGAGGUAGUGGAUUACCAAGGCUUUGACGGGUAGCCGGCCUGAGCGGGGGGCCGGCCACAAGGCGACUGAGGGACGGCCCAGACUCGUACGGGCGGCAGCAGUCGGGAGUAUGACACAAUGAGCCGAAGCCUGAUGCAGCAACGCCGCGUGCGUGAUAACGUCCUUCGGGUUGUAAACCGCUGUCGCCGGUAACGAAGCGUGAUUGACGGUAAUGAGUAAAGAAGCACCGGCUAACUACGUG
rnacentral:rRNA from 1 species